rnacentral:lncRNA from 1 species
GACGCCGCCGGCGGGAAGGGUCCGCGCGCCAUGGCUGGCCGCUCGCGCCCUUUCCCACCGCUGCCGGGAAACCGAGGCUCGCCCCAAACGGAUUUGCGUGAAACCAGCCCAAGGUUCCGGGCCCCCCCAACCGAGCCCCGCGCCCGGGGACUGACUCGGGGACCGACUCAGGGACCUCCCGAGCGCCAGGACUCAGGGCCCGACCUGCAGCGGCUGCAGGCCCAGCGCCCGCAAGCGGCCUGGGCCGAGCGCCGUUUCCAGGCCCUCGCCAGGUCUUUGAACUGCAGGGAAGCGUCAGCCACACAAAAGCCUGCAUGACCGCUGCUUCGGAGAAGCUCUCGACCCUAACUGCAGUCACUGUUACUUGGAUCAGAUCAAGCGCAGUGACUUUUUGGGAUUCAGUGGUUAUUCUCCACACUUCGUAGCCAUUUCAACCAACUCUGAGCACAAAAUGCAGCCAUCCUCUAUGCAGCAAGCCCUGCCCAGUCAGUGACCCUACUGGACAGAUCCAAGGCCAGCCCUGGUUCCCUGCUGCAGCCACCGUCCUGACGUUCAUCGGAGCAGGCCGGGGCCUGGCCUUCCCGGCACAAGUGGCUGUUCUGACAGGCCCCCAGUUUGUCCCAUCUGAACUGCUGGGAGGUUUCCGGGUGGCCAGAGGAGCAAAGCUGCCUUCCAAGUGCCUGUCUGUGCCUGGGAGAACAGAGCAGGAGCGUCGUGCGGUCCACCGCGCAAUGCAUGGCGAUUCCAGGCGCUGAACAACUCCCCUGGACCCUUGGGCCUGCAUCUGACUCCCAGCUGCAGAGUCAGAAGCUGAGUCCAGGCAACUGCUUGGCCACUCCCGAUCGCUCCUCCCUGGACACCCGGUUACCAAAGUCAGCAAAGAAGAUGCGGUAAUCGCCGCCUGAUCUCCACAUGGUGAACACAACACUCCCACCAACACCUCCUUGACUGGUCGGUCUUCAGCACCGGGGGUGGGCAGGCAGGUGUUCUGUGUUGACGAGAAUUGCACAGGCUAAACACAAACACGGAACCAGAGUGAGAACACCUCACUCACGGCAGCCCAGGCUGCUCCCUACCAGGUGACGGAGCGCGCCGGGGCUGUGGGUGCCAGGGGCUGAGUGCUAGGGACUCGUCAUGAGUGGGGAUCCCCACGUUCCUGUCACUGCUGUCAAACAGAAGGUAAACAGUCUUAUGAAUGUAUUUCCUUAGGAAAACUUGUAAAAACUUUUAUUAGGAUAUCUAUUUAAUACUGAACUUUGGCCUACUUUGUGAUAGACUAUAAACAAAUUGAGG